CAGGCACAAGUCACCCCCGUACAGCCAUCCCUCUGCACAUACAUGGGCCACCAAGAUCAGAGACAGGAAACUGGGCAGCAGGAAGAGCAACUGAACUGGUUCCUGAAGCUUGUGAUGGGUUGCUUCUUCGGCUGGUUGCUGGCACCAUCUACGGGCCCUACGUGCGAAGGAAGAUUGAGAUGUUUUUUAUCAUCAUAUUACAGGAGAAGUGUCUUGCCUCAGCGUCCCAGAGUAAAGGAAGCACUAAGCCUUGAACUUCCCUGAUUGGCACGAGGCACUCUCAGCAUUGGUCAGAGGUGGAAAGAGAUACAGGAAACCUUGGGUCCUACCUGUAUGGUGACUGAUGGGGAAUUUGACCUUUGUGGCAGCAGGAGUGGCAUGGGAUAAGUUGCUCAUGACUUCAACGCCUGGAAGAGUUUAGCUCGGGGCAGCUGGUCCUCAGAAACAUUGUCCAUAUUGUGGCUUGAGGGAGUCCGAUGCUUUGCUUUCCAGAGCUGAAAGACACCAUCAAGAAUUCUGUUGACUUAAACCUCCCAAUUCAGGAGGCUCUAUUCUCUGACCAUGGGCCACAUUACACCAAAACAGGUUCCCUCGCUCCCUUGUCAGUCUCUUUGGCUCAGGCUGCCCUUUAGGGAAGGGUGGAAAUGGUGUUGGGGAUGUGUGACAUGUCAGUGUGAGUUAUUCAAAACAUUAUCUGUGUUAUAACUCAGUGCUCUCUCCUUCCCUGGACAUAGCCUUAACCUCUGGCAUUACUGUCUGUGGCCUGUUUCCCCACCCACCUCUGUCUGCUGCUGCACCCAUCCCACUACUGCCUCCAAAACCACCUCAGCUGAGUCCUCCACCUAAUCUCUAUCUGCUGAUCUACCCAUCCCCCCUGAAGGAAACAUUCGAAGCGUCUACCUUUUGGGAGGUUGGCUCAAGGGAGCGAGAUCUUUUCUUCCUGACUUUCCUCUCUGCUGAUUUCUCUCGUUCUUGAUCCUUCUUCAGUUCUCUCCUGGCUGCGUAGUGCAGCUGCUCCGUUCUCUGGGGCUCUGCUGGGAGGCUCUCGAUACUCACAGUAUCUUUCACAUGAGGCUCUGGAGUGAAGCUGGACUGCACAUAUUUCGGCUCCAACAUAUCCUCCUCAAAAAAAUGCCCCGAGGUGAGUUCACUCCCCUGGUUUCUGUGUCGGGUUAUGGAACGUCGACUGGCUGCAAUGCGGGAGAUGCUUUUGGUGCUAACAGCAAUCUCUGUCAAGGCCUCCAGACUCAGUGGGGCAAGCGUGAUCUCUGCAGCUGACUUUCUCCUAUUUAAGUCCGGGGAGGUAGGGGAACAUAGCUCGGAGGCCAUCUUUCCUACAGGAAUGCCAGUCGGUUUCUGCUAAAAAUCAAAGCCAUGGAAUCGGACAACUCAGGAUUUGCUUUUUACUUAAUACUUAAGGUGUUUUUCAUCUUCCAACCAUGUUAGAAACAUUAAUCAAUCACUACCACACUCCAGAGAAGUUGGUAGAUGUUAGUAUAUCCAUUUUUGCAGAUGGGGAAACUGAGGUAGAGACAGUAAGGGAAAUACCCAAGGUUACAAAAGGAGUCAGCCUUGGGAUAAGAACCAAGAGUAACUGCCUCUUGGUCCUGUACUCAGGCAUUAGGCCAUGUCAUAAUCUCUCCCAAAGCGUCCACAUAUUAGCCCCAAAGGAAUCAUAUGUGAUUAGAUUCUUAAAAGAAUUUUACAAAGGCCUCAUUACACGAUAUGGCACCAGAAAAUACCAAACUCCAUCCAGCUUCAGCUUUUGUGGGAAACAAGCAACAUUCCUGGUCUGAGUAUUGCAACAUCAACACAAAUGUCAGAGAAGCUUGACACCCAGGCAAGAGUCACUUCAUCAUCUUCCUCCCUCCAGAUAGACACGCGUACAAAUAUUACUUUGUGCCUUGGAUGCGCUGAGUAGAAAAUACAUUGGUCUAGGGGAACUGGCUAUUGACCUAAAGGUAUCUGUCAUAUCACUUCCUUGUCCCAUAAUUUAUGUUGCAUCUAUCAAGGUGUUUAUAUGACUCAUCACAGGAGUACCUGAACAUCUCAUGAACAUUUGUUUAUCCUUCCCACCUGUGUUGCAGGGAUUACUGCUAUCCUUGUUGUACAGACAGACAACUGGGGCCCGUAGAGAUUAGGAGGUGGGAGUAGAACCCACGGCACUUGGAUCCCAGCCUGUACCUUAUUCCUCUGGGAAUGGAAUGUAUUACACACAGAUAUUUAUCUUCCUCAUCUAGAAAACUAGUCUCGGACUCCUCACUGCAUCAUACGACUUGCAGCCACGAUGGGUCCAACUGCUGCGUGCACCCUGCUUUUGCCAGAGGAAAGUGCUCGCUGUGGCGGUAGACCUUGAACUCUGUGCCUGCCAGUACUGACCUGGUGCAGUGGGGUUCUUGGCAAGCAAAAGAAAGUAGGGCCGAGAUGGGUGUCUGGAUUCCCCAGUUUUCUAGUAGGUGUCGUUUUGGAUGAUCUGUAGCUGUCACUGUGAAAAACACACAUGGAGGCGUGAAUAGAUUGAACUACAUGUAUAAGAGCCAGGCACUUGGCCCGUUAGAGGGAGAGGGGAAAGCCAGGCAGCCCUUCUGGAGUGUUUGGAGACACCUGUUUGGAUUAACUCCUCCAAAAUGUAUGGGAAACCAGGACUGAUUUAAAAGCAGGGGUGGGGAGGGAAGAUCCAGGAUGGAAAGAGAAUUUCAGAACUCAGGGAAACAUUGAGGGGACCCUGAACCCACUUAAAAGAGCUUCAUUAAUAUAUAUUGGUUGAACUCUUUCACACUGAUCGGUUUACAACCAAAGUCCCCCUCACCCCACCCACUCCCUGGAGAAAAUUCCUACUAAAGCACAGAGCUACCUAGCAAUUGCAUAAUACAACAGGGACUUCUUUCCUACUGGCUCCCUUUUCUGGGGGUUCCUCUAACAUGUUCACUCAUUUGGGGAUCUGUCCUCUAGGAACCAAGUCUGGUUUAGGACUCACGUUGGAGAGACUUUGCAGGGCUCUGCAUCAUUGGGCAAUGUUCACCUUAGUCCUCUAGUAUCUAAAGUGCUUGCUCUGCCUCCAUGCGAUGCCCCACUACGCUGUUGACAUCACAGCCACCCUGGUACUCCAGCUGGGGCAUGGGACCAGGCUAUGGAGAGGUCAGUGUGACCUGGAGGACUGCAUGUGAGCGGGAAGAUGUUUUGCUGGCAGCGGUGGGCUCCUGAGUGCAUUCUUUGUUUCCUUUUGUUAACAGCGGCGUGAUCUAAACAAUGCAGAAAAAUAUGCAGAAGCUUAAAGACCUGCUCAGAUUUACCUCCUGUGCAUCUGUAGUGGAGACUUCAGUAAUUCCUGCUAUCUGGAUGCUACCCCUAGCAUCCUCUCUGAGGUCUAGGAAUCCAGUGGAUGGAUUCAGGAGGUCACGGAUCACUUCGUUAUAAA